rnacentral:rRNA from 1 species
GACGAACGCUGGCGGCGUGCUUAACACAUGCCAGUCGAACGGAAAGGCCCUGCUUUUGUGGGGUGCUCGAGUGGCGAACGGGUGAGUAACACGUGAGUAACCUGCCCUUGACUUUGGGAUAACUUCAGGAAACUGGGGCUAAUACCGGAUAGGAGCUCCUGCUGCAUGGUGGGGGUUGGAAAGUUUCGGCGGUUGGGGAUGGACUCGCGGCUUAUCAGCUUGUUGGUGGGGUCGUGGCUUACCAAGGCUUUGACGGGUAGCCGGCCUGAGAGGGUGACCGGCCACAUUGGGACUGAGAUACGGCCCAGACUCCUACGGGAGGCAGCAGUGGGGAAUAUUGCACAAUGGGCGGAAGCCUGAUGCAGCAACGCCGCGUGCGGGAUGACGGCCUUCGGGUUGUAAACCGCUUUCGCCUGUGACGAAGCGUGAGUGACGGUAAUGGGUAAAGAAGCACCGGCUAACUACGUG